ensembl:lncRNA novel transcript, sense intronic to GPATCH8
CUUCCAAAGAGCAUGUGUAAUUUAAAACUUUACUAAAAAACUGAAAGGUAACAAAUUGAAAACAAUGAUUACCUCUAAGAAAUGAAACGGAGAAAGGAGGGCUUUCUUUCAUGUUUUACUUGUUACAGUGUGGCCUAAACUUUUAACAAUACCCAUUUUACAUUUGUAUUAUUUGUGUUUAGUAGUAUAUUUUAAUAAAGGGGGCCACAAUAUACUAAAAAAUUAAAGACAUUGCUUGCACAACCUUUCCUCACCUGUGACCAGGCUAUCAGACUAGAUGACAUAUUUAGAGGUAAGAUUAAAGUUAUUACAAAAAUUGUUAAAAAAAAUUUUUUUUAAGUUCUCCCUAUGAGCUCAGUCUAAUAAAAUGUCUCAAGAAAAGCAUUUUACAAAAAAAUGCCCUUAAUGGGCAUAAUUUUAACAAUGCAAAUCACCUUUAAAAGACUGUGUGCCUGUAAUCCCAGCUAUUCUGGAGGCUGAGGCAGCAGGACUGCUUGGGCCCAAGUUUGAAAACAGCCUGGGCAACACAGGCUGUUAAAGAAAAGAAAGAAAAGAAAAGAAAUGGAAAAAAUGGAGAAAGGGGAAUGGGCAAGAGCAAGAAUGUGAAAGAACUGAGUCUUUACCUUGGUUAACUUGAAUAAAAUAAAAACUGUCUUGUAUGAA